rnacentral:piRNA from 1 species
UGCAUUUGAAUUAUUUUUCCA